UGAGGAAUAUUGGACAAUGGAGGCAACUCUGAUCCAGCCAUGCCGCGUGCAGGAAGACUGCCCUAUGGGUUGUAAACUGCUUUUAUACAGGAAGAAACACUCUCACGUGUGAGAGCUUGACGGUACUGUAAGAAUAAGGAUCGGCUAACUCCGUG
rnacentral:rRNA from 1 species